rnacentral:rRNA from 1 species
CCUACACGACCGUACCGCAAACCGACACUGGUGCGCGAGAUGAGUAUUCUAAGGCGCUUGAGAGAACUCAGGAGAAGGAACUCGGCAAAUUGACACCGUAACUUCGGAAGAAGGUGUGCCUUUAGUAGGUGAAGUCCCUCGCGGAUGGAGCCCAAUGAGGUUGCAAAGAAUCGGUGGCUGCGACUGUUUAUUAAAAACACAGCACUCUGCAAACACGAAAGUGGACGUAUAGGGUGUGACGCCUGCCCGGUGCUGGAAGAUUAAAUGAUGGGGUGCAAGCUCUUGAUUGAAGUCCCAGUAAACGGCGGCCGUAACGAUAACGGUCCUAAGGUAGCGAAAUUCCUUGUCGGGUAAGUUCCGACCUGCACGAAUGGCGUAACGAUGGCCACACUGUCUCCUCCUGAGACUCAGCGAAGUUGAAAUGUUUGUGAUGAUGCAAUCUCCCCGCGGAAAGACGGAAAGACCCCAUGAACCUUUACUGUAGCUUUGUAUUGGACUUUGAACAGAUCUGUGUAGGAUAGGUGGGAGGCUUUGAAGCAGGGUCGCUAGAUCUUGUGGAGCCAACGUUGAAAUACCACCCUGGUGUGUUUGAGGUUCUAACCUAGGCCCGUAAUCCGGGUUGGGGACAGUGCAUGGUAGGCAGUUUGACUGGGGCGGUCUCCUCCCAAAGUGUAACGGAGGAGUUCGAAGGUACGCUAGUUACGGUCGGACAUCGUGACGAUAGUGCAAUGGCAUAAGCGUGCUUAACUGCGAGACUGACAAGUCGAGCAGAUGCGAAAGCAGGACAUAGUGAUCCGGUGGUUCUGUAUGGAAGGGCCAUCGCUCAACGGAUAAAAGGUACUCUGGGGAUAACAGGCUGAUACCGCCCAAGAGUUCAUAUCGACGGCGGUGUUUGGCACCUCGAUGUCGGCUCAUCUCAUCCUGGGGCUGUAGCCGGUCCCAAGGGUAUGGCUGUUCGCCAUUUAAAGAGGUACGUGAGCUGGGUUUAAAACGUCGUGAGACAGUUUGGUCCCUAUCUUCCGUGGGCGCUGCAGAUUUGAGGAAGCCUGCUCCUAGUACGAGAGGACCGGAGUGGACGCACCUCUGGUGUAUCGGUUGUCACGCCAGUGGCAUUGCCGAGUAGCUAUGUGCGGAAGAGAUAACCGCUGAAAGCAUCUAAGCGGGAAACUCGUUUCAAGAUGAGAUCUGCCGGGGCCUUGAGCCCCCUGAAGAGUCGUUCAAGACCAGGACGUUGAUAGGUCGGGUGUGGAAGCGCAGUAAUGCGUUAAGCUAACCGAUACUAAUUGCUCGUGCGGCUUGACCCG